CUACAAAGGAAUUGACGGGGACCCGCACAAGCGGUGGAGUAUGUGGCUUAAUUCGAUGCAACGCGAAGAACCUUACCUAGGCUUGACAUGGAUUUCUAAGCACGUGAAAGCGUGUGACCCUUCGGGGGACUUUCCACAGGUGCUGCAUGGCCGUCGUCAGCUCGUGUCGUGAAAUGUUGGGUUAAGUCCCGCAACGAGCGCAACCCUUAUCCUUUGUUGCCAGCGGUCCGGCCGGGAACUCAAAGGAGACUGCCAGUGAUAAACUGGAGGAAGGUGGGGAUGACGUCAAGUCAUCAUGGCCCUUACGACCAGGGCUACACACGUGCUACAAUGGCGCAUACAAAGAGAAGCGACCUCGCGAGAGCAAGCGGACCUCAUAAAGUGCGUCGUAGUCCGGAUUGGAGUCUGCAACUCGACUCCAUGAAGUCGGAAUCGCUAGUAAUCGUGGAUCAGAAUGCCACGGUGAAUACGUUCCCGGGCCUU
rnacentral:rRNA from 1 species